rnacentral:piRNA from 1 species
UGCGCUUUUUGUGGAACCUAGAUAUAUAU